rnacentral:lncRNA from 1 species
UCCUUCGUUCGUUCGCUCACUAUAGAACAAGAAGAGUCCUUUUUUUUUCUUUUGAUCCCUGAAGUUGCAGCAUUGCUGCUGCUUCUGUUAGGACUUUCAGCCCCUUUUUUAAAAAAAAAAUCUGAUCCUCUUUUUAUUUUAUUUUUUAUGAGAGCUAAAUGACAAUUAUGCUCUUAUUUUAAUAUAGGGUAUUACAAUAAGUCACCUU